rnacentral:rRNA from 2 species
UCUGGUAUUGAUUGGUGCUUGCAUCAUGAUUUACAUUUGAGUGAGUGGCGAACUGGUGAGUAACACGUGGGAAACCUGCCCAGAAGCGGGGGAUAACACCUGGAAACAGAUGCUAAUACCGCAUAACAACUUGGACCGCAUGGUCCGAGCUUGAAAGAUGGCUUCGGCUAUCACUUUUGGAUGGUCCCGCGGCGUAUUAGCUAGAUGGUGGGGUAACGGCUCACCAUGGCAAUGAUACGUAGCCGACCUGAGAGGGUAAUCGGCCACAUUGGGACUGAGACACGGCCCAAACUCCUACGGGAGGCAGCAGUAGGGAAUCUUCCACAAUGGACGAAAGUCUGAUGGAGCAACGCCGCGUGAGUGAAGAAGGGUUUCGGCUCGUAAAACUCUGUUGUUAAAGAAGAACAUAUCUGAGAGUAACUGUUCAGGUAUUGACGGUAUUUAACCAGAAAGCCACGGCUAACUACGUGCCAGCAGCCGCGGUAAUACGUAGGUGGCAAGCGUUGUCCGGAUUUAUUGGGCGUAAAGCGAGCGCAGGCGGUUUUUUAAGUCUGAUGUGAAAGCCUUCGGCUCAACCGAAGAAGUGCAUCGGAAACUGGGAAACUUGAGUGCAGAAGAGGACAGUGGAACUCCAUGUGUAGCGGUGAAAUGCGUAGAUAUAUGGAAGAACACCAGUGGCGAAGGCGGCUGUCUGGUCUGUAACUGACGCUGAGGCUCGAAAGUAUGGGUAGCAAACAGGAUUAGAUACCCUGGUAGUCCAUACCGUAAACGAUGAAUGCUAAGUGUUGGAGGGUUUCCGCCCUUCAGUGCUGCAGCUAACGCAUUAAGCAUUCCGCCUGGGGAGUACGGCCGCAAGGCUGAAACUCAAAGGAAUUGACGGGGGCCCGCACAAGCGGUGGAGCAUGUGGUUUAAUUCGAAGCUACGCGAAGAACCUUACCAGGUCUUGACAUACUAUGCAAAUCUAAGAGAUUAGACGUUCCCUUCGGGGACAUGGAUACAGGUGGUGCAUGGUUGUCGUCAGCUCGUGUCGUGAGAUGUUGGGUUAAGUCCCGCAACGAGCGCAACCCUUAUUAUCAGUUGCCAGCAUUAAGUUGGGCACUCUGGUGAGACUGCCGGUGACAAACCGGAGGAAGGUGGGGAUGACGUCAAAUCAUCAUGCCCCUUAUGACCUGGGCUACACACGUGCUACAAUGGAUGGUACAACGAGUUGCGAACUCGCGAGAGUAAGCUAAUCUCUUAAAGCCAUUCUCAGUUCGGAUUGUAGGCUGCAACUCGCCUACAUGAAGUCGGAAUCGCUAGUAAUCGCGGAUCAGCAUGCCGCGGUGAAUACGUUCCCGGGCCUUGUACACACCGCCCGUCACACCAUGAGAGUUUGUAACACCCAAAGU